rnacentral:rRNA from 1 species
AUUGAACGCUGGCGGCAGGCCUAACACAUGCAAGUCGAACGGUAACAGGAAGAAGCUUGCUUCUUUGCUGACGAGUGGCGGACGGGUGAGUAAUGUCUGGGAAACUGCCUGAUGGAGGGGGAUAACUACUGGAAACGGUAGCUAAUACCGCAUAACGUCGCAAGACCAAAAAGGGGGACCUUCGGGCCUCUUGCCAUCGGAUGUGCCCCGAUGGGAUUAGUUAGUAGGUGGGGUAACGGCUCACCUAGGCGACGAUCCCUAGCUGGUCUGAGAGGAUGACCAGCCACACUGGAGCUGAGACACGGUCCAGACUCCUAAGGGAGGCAGCAGUGGGAAUAUUGCACAAUGGGCGCAAGCCUGAUGCAGCCAUGCCGCGUGUAUGAAGAAGGCCUUCGGGUUGUAAAGUACUUGCAGCGGGGAGGAAGGGAGUAAAGUUAAUACCUUUGCUCAUUGACGUUACCCGCAGAAGAAGCACCGGCUAACUCCGUG